rnacentral:tRNA from 1 species
UUCAAUAUGGCAGAAAAAUGCAAUGAAUUUAAGCUUCAUGUAUGAAGGUUUUAACUUUCUAUUGAAA